rnacentral:rRNA from 1 species
AAUCGAACCCGGAGAUAGCUGGUUCUCCUCGAAAUAGCUUUAGGGCUAGCCUCGCAUUAGUUUACCGGAGGUAGAGCACUGAAUGGUCUAGGGGGCCUCACCGCCUACCGAAACCUAUCAAACUGCGAAUGCCGGAUAAAUGAUGUGCGGGAGUCAGGCCGCGAGAGAUAAGUUCCGCGGUCAAAAGGGGAACACCCCAGAUCGUCUGCUAAGGUCCCCAAGUACGCGUUAAGUGGGAAAGGAUGUUGGAUUGCACAGACAACCAGGAUGUUGGCUUAGAAGCAGCCACACAUUCAAAGAGUGCGUAAUAGCUCACUGGUCGAGUGAUCCAGCGCCGAAAAUGUAACGGGGCUAAAACGCGACACCGAAGCAGCGGGAUGCGUAAGCAUCGGUAGAGGAGCAUUGUGUGAGGGUUGAAGCCAGAGCGGGAGCACUGGUGGACUUCACAGAAGAGAGAAUGCCGGUAUGAGUAGCGAGACCCAUGCGAGAAACAUGGGCGUCGAAGGCCCAAGGUUUCCUGGGGAAGGUUCAUCCACCCAGGGUAAGUCGGGACCUAAGCCGAGGACUGAGGUCGUAGGCGAUGGACAGCAGGUAGAGAUUCCUGCACCACUUACACUUGUUUGACGAAGCAGUGACACAGAAGGAUAGGACGAGCGCGGUGAUGGUCAACCGCGUAGGCGGCACGAGGCCGGGAAGCAGUGAAGUACACUUCCCGCAAAGGCUGAGUGUUGACAGGACCGAAAAGAAGUAGGGAAGCGUCCGAGUUCACGCUGGCGAGAAAAGCUGCUAAGGAGAGUGUGAGUGCCCGUACCGGAAACCGACGCAGGUGGGCGAGGAGAGAAUCCUGAGACGGACGGGAGAACUCUUGUUAAGGAACUCGGCAAAAUGACCCCGUAACUUCGGGAGAAGGGGUGCCUCGAAAGAGGCCGCAGUGAAUAGGCCCAAGCGACUGUUUAGCAAAAACACAGGUCUGUGCCAAGUCGAGAGACGAUGUAUACAGGCUGACGCCUGCCCAGUGCCGGAAGGUCAAGGGGAAGUGUUAGGGCAACCGAAGCACGGAACUUAAGCCCCGGUGAACGGCGGCCGUAACUAUAACGGUCCUAAGGUAGCGAAAUUCCUUGUCGGGUAAGUUCCGACCCGCACGAAUGGCGUAACGACUUGUGAGCUGUCUCAACAGGAGGCCCGGUGAAAUUGAAGUAUGUGUGAAGAUGCACAUUACCCGCGACUGGACGGAAAGACCCCGUAGAGCUUUACUGUAACCUGACAUUGGAUCUUGAUAACGGAUGCACAGGAUAGGUGGGACGCUGGGAGACGAGGACUUUGGUUUUCGUGGAGCGGCCGUUGGGAUACCACUCUUCUGUUAUUGAGAUUCUAACCUCAAGCCGUGAGCCGGAUGAGAGACAGUGUCAGGCGGACAGUUUGACUGGGGCGGUCGCCUCCGAAAGAGUAACGGAGGCGCCCAAAGGUACCCUCAGAAUGGAUGGAAACCAUUCGAAGAGAGCAAAGUCAGAAGGGUGCUUGACUGCGAGACCAACAAGUCGAGCAGGUACGAAAGUAGGGCUUAGUGAUCCGGCGGUAAGAGAGUGGAAUUGCCGUCGCUCAACGGAUAAAAGCUACCUCGGGGAUAACAGGCUGAUCUCCCCCAAGAGUUCACAUCGACGGGGAGGUUUGGCACCUCGAUGUCGGCUCG